rnacentral:lncRNA from 1 species
AGGAGCCAGGCUAACUGUGGUGGCUCCCAACUAUGUGGCUCCUGCCCUCAAGAAGUAUAGUCUAGUUGUGGAGGAAAGAUAUCAGCACAACUAACUGAGAUACAAGGAAGCAGUGAAGAGAAUCCCAAGAGAGAUACAUAGGAGUUUGAAGAAAAAUUUACACCUGAGAAAGCAGGAUUCUUUCAUAGGGCAGAAGUAGUUUGACCUGGACCUUAAAUUAGGUUUUGGGUUGGAUUUAAAGAAUCCACAUUGAAGAAGAGUAUUCCUAGUGGGAAGAAUAGCAUUAGAAAAUUUACAGAGAUACCAAAAUAUUAGAUGUUUUUUGGAACUCUGAAACGAUUUCAUGUUUCCAGAAUACCAAGAGUUGGGGGUGUGGGAGGGGAGGCAGGAGAAGGAAGAUUUCAUGAGAAAUGAGAUUGGGACCAGACUGUGGAGGAUUUUGAGGGCUGAGAAGUUUUACUUCAUUCUAGAAAUAAUGAGGAACGACUGAGCAUUUGUUUGCCUGCAGUUUGCUUCAGCCUCAUCCUGGAAUUCUGCCUACGUCAAAGGUUCCUUGUUUAAGGAUUACGAGGGGAGAAGUGGUUUGGAGUAUUCUGGCUACUGUCACACUUAUUUACAUAUUAAAAGCUGGUCUCUACCUUUUCCCAA